AUUGAACGCUGGCGGCACGCCUAACACAUGCAAGUCGAACGCCUCGUAGCAAUACGGGGAGUGGCGGACGGGUGAGUAACGCGUGGGAACCUGCCCAGGGGUGCGGGACAACUUCGGGAAACCGGAGCUAAUACCGCAUGAUGCCUUUCAGCGGUGGGAGGCUAAAGAUUUAUCGCCUUUGGAGGGGCCCGCGUCGGAUUAGGUAGUUGGUGGGGUAACGGCCUACCAAGCCUUCGAUCCGUAGCUGGUCUGAGAGGAUGGCCAGCCACACUGGGACUGAGACACGGCCCAGACUCCUACGGGAGGCAGCAGUGGGGAAUCUUGGACAAUGGGAGCAACCCUGAUCCAGCGAUGCCGCGUGGGUGAUGAAGGCCUUCGGGUUGUAAAGCCCUUUCGGCGGGGACGAUAGUGACGGUACCCGCAGAAGAAGCCUCGGCUAACUCCGUGCCAGCCGCCGCUGUAAAAC
rnacentral:rRNA from 1 species